CUUUGGUGUGUGAUGGCCUUCUCCUCCCUUGUGCUGUUUAACGAGCUCUGCCUUGGAAUUUCUCACCAAGUAUUUGUGCAGAGUUCAUUCCUCCUGCUGCUUUACCUUCAAUCCAGCAUGCUUGCCUGAAGGCCCUCAGGCAGCCCCUGGAUCUGUGCUCUGUGUUUGGCUGGUCAGCGUUCUUCUGCCAGGUGGUCCCCUCCUGCAGUUCAUUACCCGCCUGGGUUAAAGGUGCAAGGUCCUUGUCUGUGCAGUGUAAUUCAUCUCAUUCCAACGAGAAUUGAAGGAGCCGCCAGGAAUUUGUGAGCUGAUGAAGGGAUUUCUGAGCCAAAGUUCCCAAGCUGAAUAAGGCUGGCAGCUCUAGUGGACACGCUGAUUCCUGGUAAUUGUGCCCUUCUGGCUGUGGAGCACCUUGGGGAAGCAGUGGCCUGAAGCUGUUCUUGUCUCUGGCAGUUGUGGGGCACGCUUGGAUCUCUGCUGCAGCUGUUCUGGGCAGAGCUGUCCUGCCCUUUCAAGCAGCCCUUCCUUUCCUGGGCAGUUGAUCCGUGCUGUGCUUGAGGGAGAGAUCUUGGUUGUGGCUGUGUCCUGCCUGCCUCGACUGGCAAAUGCUGCGGUUGUGGUUGGCGCGUGGCCGUGGGGAUCCUGGGGACAGUACCCUGGGGCGAGUGCAGUGAUCCCUGAGGAUGAAGAGAGGCUUGGGAUGAGGCGAAGAGACUUGGAGACACCAUUUUCCCAGAAUGACACUUCUGCUGAAAGGAAUUGGCAAGUGAAUUAAGCAGCGUUACCCUUCUUAUACUGCUGAGCUCGUUUCUGCUCCAAGUCCCUCAGUUCCUGAGGAGUCCAAGAUUUUCCCCAGGAGUGGGAAGGAGAAGCUGUUCCUCUGCUUGAGCUAAAAGUCUACCUGGAUUUUUGACCUCCUCCAGAACUGUUAAAUUCUGUUGGUUCUCCUGACUUGGGACUCUAGAGGGUGGGGGAAGAGGAUUUUUGUCUCGUGUUAUGCUUCUCUGUUGGUUUCAGCUCUUGCUCAGAAAGUGAAUGUAACCUUGUCUUCUCCGAGUCACCGACAAGCUCGUGACAAAGAAGGGGACCCAGAAGUUCUCGGGGCCCUGGCAGCGAGAGCAACAGCAAAUGGUGUUGGAGAGUUUCUGUGAGCCCCUGUUUGUGAGUCUUGUUUGGGGUUGUCCCUUUGUCCCCUCUGGAGGUGUUCCUUGAGCGUGUUCAGGCUGUGCCACGUCUGUCCCCGGCUGGAUGCAGGGUGUUCCAGGUGCUACAAGGCUUUGGUCAAAUGGCUGGGAGACACUGGACCCUUGAUGAGCAUUGACUGCACUUGUGGAGGGCCUGGCCACGUGGGCAUUCCUGGGAGGAGGAGUGCCCUGGAGUGAGUGCAGUGACCCCUAAAGUUGGAGAGAUGCUUGGAGAAACCAUUUUCCAGACUCACACUUGUGUUGAAAGCUCUGUGGCGGUGCUGAGUGUUGCAGAGUGGCUUGAAGGGUUUGCGAGAGCCGACCAGGGACUGGAGGAAUCGGCUCCAGCGGGGUCCCUGGCAAAUGCCGGACAAGAACUGACACAGAAUUUCUUGGGACCCUGGCAGAGAGAAAGAGAGAAGCAGCAAAUGGUGUUGGUAGCGUUUCUGUGAGUACUUGUGAGAUCAUGGGCUUCUUAUGGCUUAAGAAAGGAUCUGGAUGGGAAAACAGCUUGUUUGACAUGAAACCCUCAUGUGGAACAUCUGAACAAAGAGGAUGGGAUGAGACUUCUUGGAACCUAGGAGUAAGUUGAUGCGAGUAGUUUUGAUAGCAGCAGAGCAUCUGGAAGCACAUGUCAGAAGACUCUGCAAGGUAAGUGCAGAGCUGAAUGAUACAAGGAGGAAAACAUCUGGGGCUGUGUUUGGAUUUCUCAAGGCCUUGUAGAUUCCUCUCUCCAACCGCCACUUGUCAGUCGAGCUGGAUCAAUAUCCUUCAGCAGACCAUCAGUGUCUGGUGUUCCUGGCAUUUUAGUAGCUUGAAUUUUGCCCAAGGAAGAGCAUCCUGGUCUUGCUCUGGUGUUGAGACAGCUUAGUGCCCUUUUGGACCUUCUUCAAGGAGUAGGAGGAGCCUGGAUUUGUGUUUCUUGGAUGGUCCUGACCUUCAAGACAAGGACUAAAGGGGCGUGCCAAGGCAGCAGGGGCUGCUCUGGAAGUUAGGAGUGGUUGGGCUCUUCUGUCCUGGUUCUGCUUAAGAGAUGGCUCAGGGCUGCUGAAAUGCUGAGGGCUGCACAACAGGCCUUUGAACCAAAGCUGAGCUCUUGCUGGAACCUUCCUAAGCCUAAUGCUGUGUUUGUAUGCAUUCAUGAACAAAGUCCACAGGAUGGCUAGUGUUAGGGCCUAGGUAUCUGCUCACUGACAUAACAGGGAUUGACCUUUCUGUAACUGAGAACCUGGACAAAGCCACAAAAUCAGACCUCUUGCCUUGCUGGCAGCUCCGGGGUUGUUCCCUGAGCCCUGGCCAGGCUUUGGGCCCAAUCCACGAGGAAGCCGAGCCCAGCUGUUGCCGUACUGGACGUUGUGUCAGCCUGUUGCUGGCACCCAAUUGUCCGAGCUGGGCCCUGUCCCAGCACAGUCGGAAGCCUCUUUGCCUGCGGGUGGACGCACCCGUGGGAAUUCCCGGUUGUGGGAGAGGUUCUCCAGUGCUUGGCUGGGACAGGGGGUUCCCAGCUCGCGGGCUGUGGCUCUGGAGGAUGGUGCAGCCUUAGGCUGUGACGGGUGCUGUAUCUUAAUCACUGUAGGCAAUUGGCCAAAGCCAGGCACCCAUGAAAGUUGUUCACUUGCUCUCUGCUGCUUUAGUUGGGCUAAGGAGAGGGGGGGAAAAAAGAAAAAAUGAAUGAGGGGUUCAUGAGUUAAGAACUGGGAGAAAAACACUCUAAGGGUGAAACGGGUAUAAAUUUAAAGGUGUAAAGUUAAUUUAUUAUUAACAGAGUCAGAGAAUGAUAGUGUGAAGUAAAUUAAGCCUUUAAAACACCUUGUAUUUUUUUUCCCUGCCAGCCCCUUCCUCUUUCCUACUGACAGGGCACGGGGGUUUUGGUCAGCUCAUUAGUUGAGGUCUUUUUCUGUUUGCUCAGGGAGAGGAGUUUUUUCUUUGGUAUGCUGUCGGGUCCCUCCCGCAGGCCAAGAGCCUUUCCAGAGCUGUUGUGUCAUGGGUUCCUCAUGCCCAGGAUGCAGUUUUUUAGGGCUUGGUUGCUCUAGUUGGGAAGCAAGGCUUCUCUUUAUCUCUAGAAGCAGGGGCCCUCUCUCUCUCUUCCUAGUCAGGUCUCCCAGUGGAUCAAAGCACUCUCUGGCUUCCACCCCCUCUGGCAUGAGUGCUUUCCCCACGGGCUGUGAGUGGAUCUCUGCAUCCUCUGUGGACUUGAUGUAAACUGACAGGGCCACAACUUGUUUCAUCACAGUCCUCACUACAGCUUGCAGAGGAAUCUCAGCUGUGACGAGCACUUUGGAGCACUUCUUCCCCCUUUUUUCCUUUGACCUUGGUGCCACCAUGUUGUUUUCCAGCACAUUCUCACUUCCUCCUCUCCUGUGACUAGAAGAAAAGCUGGUGCUCAUAGGUGCUACUGCUAGAAGGUUUCAGCAGUUCAAAGAUCCCUGCGGGCUCCCCCGGCAGCAAGGAAGUUGAUCUCGUUUAGGCUCCUGUCGGGGAGUUGCUGGCCGUGUUUUUGCUGCAGCCAUCGGGUGGGCGGUGGCAGCCAGCGGGGCCCUGGUGCUGUUUAAGGCCUCUCCUGGUGCGUGUUGCCGGAGGAGAAGCUGCCGCUGCCAGCCCUGCCCUCCUGCCUGGGGUGCGGCUGGCCGCGGGGCCGGGCAGACCGGCUUUGCCGCGGCCACAGUGGCGCCUUGCCCUGUGCCAUGCCGGGAUGGGCCCUGGCACAGCGCCUCCCAACCCCUGGAACAAACUGCCCUUGGGCUGCUUUGAUGUUCUUUGUCAAUGGGACCAUGAGGUCUUACCCACUUUUCUAAUUGGUCCGGCGGCACUCCCAUCUUCAGAGCUAUCAGCAGCUGGCUCUGUUGGACACGGUGGAAGCUUCUAGCAGCUUCUCCCAGAAGCCACCUCUGUGGGCUCCCUGCUGCUACCACGAAACCAGGCUGUGCCAAAUCAACACAGCAGUCUUUGGUAGGAAUGCUGAGGUGCAAUGAUGAGCUUCUCCUUUUGUAACUUCUUGCUCUGAGCCUGAGUAAAUGACAAAAUUCCUGUAGCUGGUGUCAGUGAUUUAAGCAUGGCAAACUCACUCGCUGUGCUGCGCCCCCCCGCCCCGAGUCUGUGAGCAAGAACCUGAAUGUAUUGGAUUAUGUAACCUAAAAAUGUGUGUUCUAUUUCAUCUGUGGAAAGCAGUUUUUUGGGACUUGUUUUAUCCUUCUCUUAGCCUUCCAGGGGAGAGGGAGACUGAUGUCUUCUGAUAAUGGCCCAGCCAUGAAAACCAGAUGGAAAAUAGAGUUGCUGAGCUAAGUUUUAACAGUAAGAAAGCAGCAAGUUCUCUAGGGUUUGACAGUCUGGAAGCACUGGACGGGUCCUCUUUAUAUAUUGUGGCAUCAGUGUUGGAAUCUAUGGGGAACUGAAUAGCUUUCAUGGUUUUCCUGGGACGCAGAGUGCUGUCUCCAGCUCUGGGGCCUCCACCAUGAGAAGGACAUGAACCUGCUGAAGUGAUUCUGGAGGAGAAAUAAGGGCUAAAGAACCUCUCCUAUGA